CACGUAGGGUGCGAGCGUUGUCCGGAAUUAUUGGGCGUAAAGAGCUCGUAGGCGGUGUGUCGCGUCGGCCGUGAAAACCUGCAGCUUAACUGUGGGCUUGCGGUCGAUACGGGCAUCACUGGAGUUCGGCAGGGGAGACUGGAAUUCCUGGUGUAGCGGUGGAAUGCGCAGAUAUCAGGAGGAACACCGGUGGCGAAGGCGGGUCUCUGGGCCGUAACUGACGCUGAGGAGCGAAAGCAUGGGGAGCGAACAGG
rnacentral:rRNA from 1 species